rnacentral:sRNA from 1 species
GCCGGGUGUGGUGGCGGGUGCCUGUAGUCCCAGCUACUUGGGAGGCUGAGGCAGGAGAAUGGCAUGAACCCGGGAGGCAGAGCUUGCAGUGAGCCAAGAUCGUGCCAGUGCACUCCAGCCUGGGCGACAGAGUGAGACUCCGUCUCAAAAAAUAAUAAUAAUAAUAAUAAAUUUCUUAUACAGAUGGGGGUCUCAUCCUAUCACCCAGGAUGGAGUGCAGUGGCAUGAUCAUGGCUCAUUGCAGUCUCUAACUCCUGGGCUCAAGUGAUACUCCUACCUCA